GGGGCUGUAGCUCAGUUGGUCAAGAGCGCCUAUCUGUCGAAUAGGAAGUCGCCAGUUCAAAUCUGGUCAGCCUCG
rnacentral:tRNA from 1 species